CCUACGGGAGGCAGCAGUAGGGAAUCUUUCACAAUGGGCGAAAGCCUGAUGGAGCAACGCCGCGUGCAGGAUGAAGGCCUUCGGGUUGUAAACUGCUUUUAUAAGCGAGAAAUAUGAUGGUAACUUAUGAAUAAGGAUCGGCUAACUACGUGCCAGCAGCCGCGGUCAUACGUAGGAUCCGAGCAUUAUCCGGAGUGACUGGGUGUAAAGAGUUGCGUAGGUGGGAUAAUAAGUAGCUAGUGAAAUCUGGUGGCUCAACCAUUCAGACUAUUAGCUAAACUGUUAAGCUCGAGACCGUUAGAGGUAAGUGGAAUUUCUGGUGUAGGAGUGAAAUCCGUAGAUAUUAGAAGGAACACCAAUAGCGUAGGCAGGUUGCUGGGACGGUACUGACGCUAAGGCACGAAAGCGUAGGGAGCAAACGGGAUUAGAUACCCUUGUAGUC
rnacentral:rRNA from 1 species